UACGUAGGGUGCGAGCGUUAAUCGGAAUUACUGGGCGUAAAGCGUGCGCAGGCGGUUUUGUAAGCCAGAUGUGAAAUCCCCGGGCUUAACCUGGGAAUGGCAUUUGGGACUGCAAGGCUAGAGUUUGGCAGAGGAGACUGGAAUUCCUGGUGUAGCAGUGAAAUGCGUAGAUAUCAGGAGGAAUACCGAUGGCGAAGGCAGGUCUCUGGGCUAUAACUGACGCUCAUGCACGAAAGCGUGGGGAGCAAACAGG
rnacentral:rRNA from 1 species